GACGAACGCUGGCGGCGUGCCUAACACAUGCAAGUCGAGCGAGGGACUUCGGUCCCUAGCGGCGGACGGGUGAGUAACACGUGGGUAACCUGCCUCAUAGAGGGGGAUAGCCUCCCGAAAGGGAGAUUAAUACCGCAUAACAUGUUUUGAUUGCAUGAUCGAAACAUUAAAGGAGUAAUCCGCUAUGGCAGAUGGACCCGCGGCGCAUUAGCUAGUUGGAGAGGUAACGGCCCACGAAGGCGACGAUGCGUAGCCGACCUGAGAGGGUGAUCGGCCACAUUGGAACUGAGAUACGGUCCAGACUCCUAGGGGAGGCAGCAGUGGGGAAUAUUUCACAAUGGGCGAAAGCCUGAUGCAGCAACGCCGCGUGAGUGAUGAAGGCCUUCGGGUUGUAAAGCUCUGUCUUUGGGGACGAUAAUGACGGUACCCAAGGAGGAAGCCACGGCUAACUACGUGCCAGCAGCCGCCGCCGUAA
rnacentral:rRNA from 1 species